GGAGGGUGCAAGCGUUAUCCGGAUUCACUGGGUUUAAAGGGUGCGUAGGAGGGCAGGUAAGUCAGUGGUGAAAUCUCCGAGCUUAACUUGGAAACUGCCGUUGAUACUAUCUGUCUUGAAUAUUGUGGAGGUGAGCGGAAUAUGUCAUGUAGCGGUGAAAUGCUUAGAUAUGACAUAGAACACCAAUUGCGAAGGCAGCUCGCUACACAUAUAUUGACUCUGAGGCACGAAAGCGUGGGGAUCAAACAGGAUUAGAUACCCUGGUAGUCCACGCCCUAAACGAUGGAUACUCGACAUACGCGAUACACAGUGUGUGUCUGAGCGAAAAGCAUUAAGUAUCCCACCUGGGAAGUACGACCGCAAGGUUG
rnacentral:rRNA from 1 species